AUUGAACGCUGGCGGCAGGCCUAACACAUGCAAGUCGAGCGAGCGGCGGACGGGUGAGUAAUGUCUGGGGACUGCCCGAUAGAGGGGGAUAACUCCUGUACACGGUGGCUAAUACCGCGUACUGUAGGCUAACCACUAUGGGAUUAGCUAGUAGGUAAGGUAAUGGCUUACCUAGGCGACGAUCCCUAGCUGGUCUGAGAGGAUGAUCAGCCACAUGGGAAUUGAGACACGGCCCAGACUCCGACGGAGGCAGCAGUGGGGAAUAUUGCACAAUGGGCGCAAGCCUGAUGCAGCCAUGCCGCGGGUAUGAAGAAGGCCCUAGGUGUGUAAAGUACUUGCAGUCGGGAGGCGUUACCGACAGAAGAAGCACCGGCUAACUCCGUGCCAGCAGCCGCGGUAAUAC
rnacentral:rRNA from 1 species